rnacentral:rRNA from 1 species
AGGAUGAACGCUGGCGGCGUGCCUAAUACAUGCAAGUCGAGCGGCAGCGCAGGGUGCUUGCACCCUGGCGGCGAGCGGCGGACGGCUGAGUAACGCGUAGGAACGUACCCUAAAGUGAGGAAUAACUGCCCGAAAGGGUGGCUAAUGCCGCAUGUGCUCUUCGGAGUAAAGCUUCGGCGCUUUGGGAACGGCCUGCGUCCGAUUAGCUAGUUGGUAAGGUAAUGGCUUACCAAGGCUACGAUCGGUAGCUGGUCUGAGAGGAUGACCAGCCAGACUGGUACUGAGAACGGCCCAGACUCCUACGGGAGGCAGCAGUAGGGAAUUUUCCACAAUGGGCGAAAGCCUGAUGGAGCAACGCCGCGUGCAGGAUGAAGGCCUUCGGGUCGUAAACUGCUUUCUCUGUGAGAUUAUGACGGUAACAGAAGAAUAAGGAUCUGCUAACUACGCGCCAGCAGCCGCGGU